AUCUGAUCUCAAAUCAGGUAGGACUACCCGCUGAACUU
rnacentral:rRNA from 1 species